rnacentral:rRNA from 1 species
UACGUAGGGUGCAGGCGUUGUCCGGAAUUAUUGGGCGUAAAGAGCUCGUAGGCGGCUUGUCGCGUCGUCCGUGAAAACCUGGGGCUCAACCCCAGGCUUGCGGUCGAUACGGGCAGGCUGGAGUUCGGUAGGGGAGACUGGAAUUCCUGGUGUAGCGGUGAAAUGCGCAGAUAUCAGGAGGAACACCGGUGGCGAAGGCGGGUCUCUGGGCCGAUACUGACGCUGAGGAGCGAAAAGCGUGGGGGAGCGAAACAGGG